rnacentral:rRNA from 1 species
GACGAACGCUGGCGGCGUGCUUAACACAUGCAAGUCGAGCGGUAAGGCCUUUCGUGGUACACGAGCGGCGAACGGGUGAGUAACACGUGGGUGAUCUGCACUGCACUUCGGGAUAAGCCUGGGAAACUGGGUCUAAUACCAGUUAUGACCUCCUAUCGCAUGGUGGGUGGUGGAAAGAUUUAUCGGUGCAGGAUGGGCCCGCGGCCUAUCAUCUUGUUGGUGGGGUAAUGGCCUACCAAGGCGACGACGGGUAGCCGACCUGAGAGGGUGACCGGCCACACUGGGACUGAGAAACGGGCCAGACUCAUACGGGAGGAAGGGGUGGGGAAUAUUGCGCACUGGGCGAAAGCCGUAUGCAGCGACGCCGCGUGGUGGAUGACGGCUUUCGGGUUGUAACGCGUUUUAAGCAGGGAAGAAGCGACAGUGACGGUACCUGACGAAGAAGCACCGGCUAACUACGUG